rnacentral:rRNA from 1 species
AGUUUGAUCAUGGCUCAGGACGAACGCUGGCGGCGUGCCUAAUACAUGCAAGUCGAACGAACUCUGGUACUGAUUGGUGCUUGCAUCAUGAUUUGUAUUUGAGUGAGUGGCGAACUGGUGAGUAACACGUGGGAAACCUGCCCAGAAGCGGGGGAUAACACCUGGAAACAGAUGCUAAUACCGCAUAACAACUUGGACCGCAUGGCCUGAGCUUGAAAGAUGGCUUCGGCUAUCACUUUUGGAUGGUCCCGCGGCGUAUUAGCUAGAUGGUGGGGUAACGGCUCACCAUGGCAAUGAUACGUAGCCGACCUGAGAGGGUAAUCGGCCACAUUGGGACUGAGACACGGCCCAAACUCCUACGGGAGGCAGCAGUAGGGAAUCUUCCACAAUGGACGAAAGUCUGAUGGAGCAACGCCGCGUGAGUGAAGAAGGGUUUCGGCUCGUAAAACUCUGUUGUUAAAGAAGAACAUAUCUGAGAGUAACUGUUCAGGUAUUGACGGUAUUUAACCAGAAAGCCACGGCUAACUACGUGCCAGCAGCCGCGGUAAUACGUAGGUGGCAAGCGUUGUCCGGAUUUAUUGGGCGUAAAGCGAGCGCAGGCGGUUUUUUAAGUCUGAUGUGAAAGCCUUCGG